ensembl:lncRNA
AUUAGUUUUAAAAUGUGUGCCCUUUAUUAUCAUAAUACCAAAGAGAAAGAAAAAAGUGUUCUUUAACUCCUUAAUGGCAGCAUCUAGGCAAAUUUAUUUACUGCCUCUGUCAAUGAUAAAGUUUCCAAACUUAAGAAGACUCAGGCUGCUUCCAAGCUAUAAGGAAGAGAUGCUCUGUGUACAUUUCUGAGUCUGAGAUUUGUUAAAGGUCUUCUUCCUUUGUUACUCACGGUCUCCAUGCAUCACUUGCUUGCCUGACAUGUCAGCAAACCAGAUGGAAUUUCUCCCCAUCACCACUCCCUACCCUCUGGACCACGGAACUUGGGCCCUGCCAUUUGGCAGUAUAGAAUGGCCCGUGUCUUAUCUUCGUAUGGCAGUGCUUGGAUGUACUCUUGAGUACUGGCUCGUCACUUGGCCCCUCUGUAAAUGCAAACUGUCCUGCAGACUGGCC